CCCUGAAAUGAUUCGAUGAACGCAGUACUGCGCGAGUUGGGAUUGGGACGGCUCAUUGCCAGCUCGCCUGUCAAUCGCAAUUUCGGUGCUGUGCUUUGCCCUCCCGCUGCGCCACCGCUGGUUCCCCUUCCCAGUGCGCGUGACAGUGCGGGCACCUCCCAUUCGAAUGCGGCGUUCACGCCGGCCAUGAAUGACGCCGCCGGCUCAAACCCCAGUAUGGGACGGGAAAAUGUGGAACGCUGCGACUGGUUGAUUGCGAUGAAGCCCAGCGAUCCGUGAGGAAGGGGCAGCUGCGUGCCUAGUGCAAUGAUGGAUGUCGGUGUCUCCGCAAAGAGCGGAUUCUCCUCGUAUUGAACGUCGAUCUCGCGACGGCGCAUGAAG
rnacentral:misc_RNA from 1 species